GGGCGAUAAAUAGUGAAACAGAAAGUGUAUUUUCCCCUUUGCGGUUUCUGUUUUUGUAACCAGAUGUCACAGCUGAGUGAGGGUCGUUUGGUCUGUAAUUUGUAUCUGGAGGAGCGGUUUAUUUCUCUUUUAUACAGUGGCUCAUUUCACCCUCUGCUGCCACUCAAGAUGUUAACCACAGAGCACGCUUCCUAAAUCAGAG